UAUCGAUGUUUGGAAUGUUUUGGAUUGUUUUUUCGAUUCUUGGCACGUUGCAGUUGUGGAAGCUGCACUGGAAGCGCUCGCAGUUGGAAGUCUGAAAAAAUGCAAGAUUUUGAUGGCGUUUGGAGGCAUUCUCCAAAUCGAAUGUUAAACCGUUAACCGCCACAAGGUUCGAGUCAAUAAACCGCUGCCGUCUGCGGUGACUCUGUUGCUGUGCGAGAGAUCAAGUUGCAUUUUUAUGGGGCCAAGGGUCGUCGUGGCCACCAUCACACCAUCACCAUCAUCGCCAUCAGCUUCAUCAUCACAUCUUCGCCUACGUAGGCGCGUGCCUGGAGAAUUGUGUGCAAUACACACUCGGUUCGGUUCCAGCUGAGCCAUUAAAGAGGCAUAAAUCUUGGUUAUGAAAUUGGAAAUGAUUUGCUCUGCAGACAACACGUUCAAGUAGGGAGCAUAAUGCCCCGAGAACUGAUGCGUUCAGGAAGUGCGCCAUAGCCCCUAGACCCCGAAAAAAGCGUUAAUGAAAAGGAAAGUUGGUCAGCGGCACAAACAAAAAGUGCCACUUCAUGCCCACCGCCGAGUAGAAAGAAAAACAAAGACGAGAAGACGGCGAAAAGAAGCCAAGGCAGCUAAAGAAGAAGAAAUUUCUAUAAACAAAGAGAUGAGACGCAGAGCCAGAGCAAAAUUAUCAAAGAACAACAAAAAAAAAAAAAAAAGAAGUGGAAAAUGGGACAUGGCACACUCUUGGGCCCACAGAAACAACAACAAAGACUGAAUGAAAUUCAUGUCGUUGUCGCGCUCAUAAAUUCUUCUACGCCUAUAUGCGCCCGGUAUCGCUGACUAUCUGAAAGAUACACCCACACUCGGUGAAAAACUAGCAACUCAUUCAACCGGGGAGGUGCUGCCUGCAUCCGCUGUAUGUGUCUAUAGCCCAACUUAUAAAAAAGAAUCUAUGUAAAUUUGUGUAUUUUGAAUAAAUUCCAAGCCCAUCGAAGGUGUGAGGCUUUAUCGUA